rnacentral:sRNA from 1 species
GAAACAACCGUGACCGAUGACCACCUGC